UAAUUAAAAAUAAAUUUACAAUGUGGGUUUUAUUUCCACUAAUUUAUACUACAUCCAGGGCUUGAAACUUGUGGUGAGAAGGUAUUUAGUUUGUGUAUUUUGGUCCCAAUAUAGCAUGUAUAUCGGUGCAAAAUAAGCCGAAUGUGUCAGAGAAGAAAGGCUACUCCUCUUAUGAUCAGUUAAGUCACUCCUCUUGUGCUUUGAUUCGUUUUUCAAAUUCCUUCAUGAUUCCGUCUUUGAAAUGUUUCAGAAAAGUGUAUCAGAUAACAGAUCGAGAAAAUCAAAAUAUGCAGGAUUGAUGUGGUCAAAGAUGCAAGAAUCAAAUUCAUAUUGAUGUAUAUGUAUCUUGGGGAUCAUUUUGUUUUCAUUUUGAAAGCUCAAAAGCGUAAGAUUAUAUCUACUAUUGAUCUAAUAGAUGUUGGCAUCAAGUAAUUUAAAAAAAAAAAAUCUUUUAUAACUUUCAUCAAUCUUCUGAAAGAAUAAUUGUUCGCAUAUAUAAUUUAACAAAACUACUCGAUUACUUUUCUUUUCUAGCGCUUUACUUUUUAUGAGCCGUAGCAGAAAUGUUAUAACCACACAAAGUUUGACAUCUUGAAAAAUGAGAAGCAUAGAAAGGAGUUUUCUGUUAUCCUAAUAUCCAUAAAAUUAUAGAGUUUUGAAAUGUGGAGGGGUAAAAAACAUUGUGCAGUGGCGGUCCAACUAAUUAACCUCUGCAUAAGAAAUUAAGGACAAAGGGAACAUGGCACACUGCGCACUUUAUAUCUUGGGGCUUAGACUAUGUUGUGUGCCAAAAAGAUUUGAAUCUCUGAAAAGAAAUCCACUUUCAUUCUCUAGUUUUACUUUUCCACCAAACUAAUUUGGUUUGCCACAUUUUCCUCCAUUGAUGAGAGGAGAAAGUGGAAGAAAAGGCUGGCUAAUGCGCGACUUUAUCUGAGUCAAACAUAAAGUCAUAAGCCAAGGUUUAGAUAGGUUAUUUUCGAAAACUACUUUUGUCCUCUACAUAUAUGCUCAAAACAGCAUCCAAACAACACAACAAGGGGGUGAAGCCAAUUCAUAAUCCAGUGGGGUAGAAAAAAUAAACUAAUGAGAUUCUAGAACUGGAGCAAGGGGAACAAAAAUGGACAUUAGAUAGGAUAGGUUUUGAGGUAAAAGAUAGGAGGAAUUUGUUAGAUAAAAAGAAGUUAGCUAGAAAAGAAGGGGUUGGAAUUGGGGGCGUGCGGCAAAAAAUGUUGAAAAAGCAAGAAAGGAAAGGGCAAUAUAAAAACAAAAAGAAUUAUGUAAAAGAUGUUUUACACACAUAUAUAUCAGAGUGUUGAGUGGUGCGAGAAUCAAGAAGUAUCAUCAGACCAGGUAUAUGGUACUGGACAAACAUUCAAAAUAUGCUUAUCUUGGAAUCUUUUUCUCUAUCUCUGUAAACAAUGAAUUAUUGCUUCCAAGCUUCAGAAUGCCGGGAACAUUAUUGCGUUAUGUGUACAGUAACUAACAUUUCUGUCCCCAUAAACUUGGCUUUUGCACCAGGACAACCAUUCCAUUCAGAAGCCCACAUAUUCUAUUUCUAUCUUGUACUUAGUAUGUGUCUUCCUCCUCUUAACAUUUUUUUACACUUAUAUUCUCUCAAACUCUGCCAUCCUCAUUCUUUUCAUCACUUUCUCAUUCUUUAUUCCCAUCGGUAUACUAUACAUAUAUAUAUGUCUCUCUGAUCUGCCAAAUUCCAUCUUUAACUAAACCCUAUAAAGCUCAUCUCAUAACCAUUUCAAUAUAUUCAUCCACUUCAUAUACAGUCACAAACAGCCUUUUACUGCUUUUCAAUUUAAUAAUUGCCCUUCACAUAAACAAUCUUCAACCCUCAAUCCAUUAAAUCUCAAACACAUCUCACUAAUUCAUCUACCAGUCAACACAAUCACACUGUGUCCAUGGGAAUAAUAAUACUGUUACAACCACCCAAUCAUUUUGUGCCCCAAUAAUUUUGUUUCAACAAAAUUUUCCACAAGCAAUAACAGUGGUAGAAGAACCAGAUUUUACUAAUAUUAACAGAUAAUUAAUUCUUCUGUGUUAUGUACAAAAAAGACAGUGUAUAUAUGUAGUUGAAUAUGUGAAAGGAUUAGUUUAUAUUAAUUUUGGAAGCAUAGAUAAAUAGGAAAUAAAAAAAACAUGAAAUGGGGUCAUGUUUCCUUUUCCUGGCAAACAAGAGCUGGAGGGCAUAAAAAAGUUGGCACCACGGUUUUCGUGAUAAUUCUUUUUCUUUCUUAGUUGCCACAAUACAAAAAGGAGAGAGAAUAGAGAGGUGUAUGAAGUAGUCUCUUUCUCUUUCUCAGAGAGAUGGCACGAACUACCUUGGAUUUUUCUUCAACCUUUCAACGCCCUCACCCAACAGCAAUCAUCAUGCCCUCACCCUCCUUCCCCCUCUCUCUGACCGUCCAUAACCAUCAUCAUUACCCCCUCAAGGCUCCCACCCCUUCCUUUAUCAGAAACAUCAUCAUCAUCAUCAUCCACCAACACCUUUUGCUCCUGAUCAUCACCACCUUCACCAUCACAGCCACAACGCACAAGAACAACACCACCAACACAAUCAAGGAACAUCCAAACAUGCUGCUGCUUAGCUUCUACUCAUCACAAAACCCUACUUUCGCACCUAGCUAGCUUCAGCAACUUAUACAUAUAUAUUGAGUCGUGAGAAGGGUCUAGCUUUUGCUGCCAGGAUCCAGCCACUCACACUCUUGGGGAAUCAAGCGUCUCGGUCCGAUCCAUUUUCUGUUUCCUUUUCUCUUUAAGUAUAUUAAUUCUAUGUUACUUAUUAAGUAGCCUUUUUUUUUCUUUUCUUUCCAAUUUUAUACCAAAUUUUAGUUUCAUUCGCAGAAGGAUUCUGUUAGUUUGCUUUAUCACCAUCUUCCUUCUCUCCUUCUAAGUGUGCAAGUGUUCUUACUUAUUGUGAUUGAUAAACUUCAAAAAUCAAAGGUUUGGGUACCAUAUACAUGCUUUCAACUUUUUUUCCUCCGUCCUAAAAUUGUUAGUGUAGAAACUCAUAAGGAGAUCAGAAUAUUGCUAGUCAGUAAUAUUUAAUUAAUGAUUCGUUUCUUUAGUUCGGGCAAUCAUAGUUCUGAGAAGAGUCAAGGAACUCUUUGUGACUUUGUCACUGUAUCCAUAUUCUGGGUAAAAGAAUGAUGCACCUAUAUUUGCUGGGUCUAGCUAGGGUUUCCCAGCAAUAUCUUUUUAAUUUACACUAGUUUGUUUACUUCCUUUUGGUGUAGAUUUUUAGUGAUGAUGCCUGGGAAAGAAUAUACAUAGAUACACAGACACAAAAGUAUGAAUCAGAAAUCAGAAUUCAUGGAUGAAUUAAGAUGAAUCGAGUUACCUAAUCAAGACUCAAGAGCAGAAAGUCUAAAUUAUUGACCAGAACUCCUUUUCCGUUGAAUUUUCUACAUCUUGUACUUCUUGCUUUCAAUGUUCUUUGUCCGUAACUCCACAAUCUCUAACUUUA
rnacentral:lncRNA from 1 species